UGCGAAGGGGGCUAGCGUUGCUCGGAAUCACUGGGCGUAAAGCGCACGUAGGCGGCUUGUUAAGUCAGGGGUGAAAUCCUGGAGCUCAACUCCAGAACUGCCUUUGAUACUGGCGAGCUUGAGUCCGGGAGAGGUGAGUGGAACUGCGAGUGUAGAGGUGAAAUUCGUAGAUAUUCGCAAGAACACCAGUGGCGAAGGCGGCUCACUGGCCCGGUACUGACGCUGAGGUGCGAAAGCGUGGGGAGCAAACAGG
rnacentral:rRNA from 1 species